CUAAAAUUGUAAAUUUGAUGAUCCCAGAAGUAGGGGUUUUGGUAUAGCCCAUGGAAGUAGUGAUACUUUUUCACUAGUAUUCAGUUGACCGAUAAGGCCUGUGGACCUCUUGUAGCUGGUUGUCAGUAGCUGGUGCCCGCGCAGCCUAACUGUUUCCGACAUAUAGAUCUAUAUUUGAACCUAUAAAAGUCUUGUGUUACGUUGCGAUGAUAGAUAAACGCAACUGAAGAAGACCGGUAACAUAUGGUCAAAAUAUUUCAAGACAGUGAUUAGAGGUUUCUUUAUAUAUACGGCUUUCUACCAUAUUUGAUACUAUAGGUAGCGUUUAUCGAUCUUUCUGUUACAACAAAAUUUAAUUCAAUGAAUAUUAAUCCAUAUAUUUUUGUCCCCAAAAAGAUGUUAUUUCAUCUAAUUAGAAAGAACUGAAAUUACUUUGAUCCGCCGUCGGCUCCUUAACCGGCUUCGAGGAAUGAUUCAUGCACCACGUGCUUUUACGAUAACUUCCGAACUAUCCCGGAAAUUAUCUGAAUCAUCGAAAUUUUCAGCCAUCUUGAAAUUUGUAAGGUGCCUGGUGUGUGCAAGCUCGAAGAAAAGAGGGAACGUAAUCUUUUGGUACAUUUGAUUUCAUCACAAAAUGUCAUGGGAUACGUACGUUGAGCAUUUUAAAGGACAAGGAGACACGAUGCUAAAGUGUGGCAUAUACGACCAGGAAGGAAAUCCAUGGGCUGUGUCGCCGGGCAUGGCUGGAACGCCCGCUCAAGUAAAACGGCUUGCAGCAAAUUAUAAAGAUAGUUCCGUUUUCUAUCAACAGGGGCCAGAAUUUGAAGAUUCCAAAUUCACAUUUCUCCUGAACAUGGAUGAUGGUAGUGAUACUCCCGUUAUGGUAUUUAAACGCAAAGACGUGGAAGGGGAGGAAGAAAAGCAUUUCCUGGUAGCAAUGAACACGUAUAAAGCUUGCUUAGUAGGAAUUGCGAAGGGCGGAGAUGCACACAAAUCCCGAGCAAUAGAAUUGAUUAAGCAUGUUCAUGAUUCAAUGAAAGCUUAUCAAUACUGAGCCACUUCAGGAACUUAGAAGUGCUGCAUAAACACUUUAACACAUUAUCUGACAACAAUUACAGCAAGGCCAAUCUUUAUUUUUCUUUAUCAUUCUAUGAAUUCAGUGUAUUUAAUACAAGCAGCGAAUUGUUUUCUAUGCUAUUUUGUCUAUCACGGUUUAAGGAUAUUUUUUUUGGUGAUGAGUGAAUGAAAAGUUUUCAGUAGUUUCAUGAAUGACUUGAGGAAAGAUACCGUUGUUGUAGAAAUACCUUCCCUUUUUAUCAAUGAAUAAUGUAUGCAAAGUCUAUGACAUAUCGGUGUAGCUUAGAUAAGCUGAGAAGUGGAGGAAAGGACGUAGAAUCCAUCUGAUUUAGCAGUGUGUUAAACUUGAACAAAACUGUCGUGGUUACAUUUACUUCAUGUAUUAUGUUAAAUGAGCACAGUGAUGAAUUUAGAUCUGUAUUUAAAGUUAUUGCACAAUGCCUGAUAUUUUGUGCACUAGAUAGUGAGGUGUUUGUUUGCUUUGUGACAUUGAAUUUACUGUGAAGAAAAGCAUGAUCUGGUUUCUUCCACAUGCGUGUUGUUAGUAAAAAUUAGCUGAUAUUUUGUAUAUUAUUUUGGCAAGGCAUUGAUUUUGAUUUUUAGAGUUUAAUUUUUGUAUUGAAUAAUCUUAUUCAUGUACAAGGUCAAAAGGUAGUACACUUCCACUAUAAAUCCAGACUAGGGUAGCUGGUCCAUUAAAGGUUGUUUUAAAAGUAUCCUGCCAUGUAUGUAGGUUGUUUACCUCUGUUCUAUUUUUGUUAUGUUACAUCAUACUGUUAGGGUUGCAUGUUAUGACAACUAUAAAUGUCUGAUCUGGUUGUAUUCAUCUUCAAGUACAUACGUUUUUUUUCCUAAAUAUUACAAUGCCUUAUUGUUGAAUUUUGAAGAAAAAAAAGGGGAGGGUUAUUUGAAUCCAAUCUAAGUUAAUGUAUGGGGAUGUGUGCUAAUUUGCGACUCCUUUUGGGGACUAUAAUUGUUGACAUCCUGGUUACUGGAAGACUGAGUAGGAAUGGUACCACACAAGCUAUGCAGCAGUAUGUAUUGCAAAUUGGUUGUAUUUUCUUGUAUUUUUGUGUUAUUAUUAUUAGACACGGAUGGUGCAUUUUUCACCAAAGAAAAUAUUCAGUGUAAGGCUGUUUUCAUUUCACCUUUUUUUUUCAUUAUGAUUGACAACAAUUUGUGCUGGGGAUUUUUAAAUUUCUUGUUUUAGCUCACCUGGACCCAAGGUCCUGUGAAGCUCUUCUGAUUAAAUUCUGUUCAUUUCAUAUUGUUACUUUUUGUCAAUGUAAAUUUGCCCCCCUUUAAAUGGGACUUUUAAGAGUAAACAUAAGCAUUACAUUAAAGAUUGGAAAUCAAUUAGAUGUAGCAUCCUCAAUUUUUAAUGCUUCUUAAGCAACAAGUUAACAGUUCGUUAUUUAGAAGUCAGUUAUCAAGCCAGUGUAAUUUUUCAGGUGAGCUUUGUGGUUCAUAGGCCUAAUGUUUUGUGCUGUUAUUGAGAGUAACCUGUAGCACUAUGACAGAUGUUCUCUUACAUGAUCCAUUUCCAAUGCUCAAUCAGUUUAUGGGCAUAUAUUUGGAAGUAUUGAUAUAUAAGUAGCAUAAUGCUUUUUUUUUUUUUUUUUGUAUGGUUAUGAGAAAGUCGUUUUAAACAAUGUGAUCUGAAGGGAAAAAAUGCUGUUAUUCCCAAUGUUGCAUUUACAUUUUUUUGUUAAUCUCAAUGUAACCUUUAUGUAGCAAGCUGUCAAUUUGGAUAUACUAAGUUUAGCUAUGAUUUCCUUUUGUUAAUAAUAGUACUAUUUUGUAUUUUACUAAACAGAAGCAAUUUUGGACACAUUUUAAAUGUAAACCACAAUCAAAUACCACUGAAAUUGUGUAAUAGUAUCUCUGUAAUUGCUUUAUCGUACUCCAUACUGUCAUGUUAGCAAAAAAUAAAACGCUUCUAGUGCU